rnacentral:rRNA from 1 species
UGACAAACUUGACCUCAAAUCAGGUAAGACUACCCGCUGAACUUAAGCAUAUCAAUAAGCGGAGGA